CUUUGAAAGAAAUCAGUGAAAGGGAGAAAUAAAGUGGGAGAAACGCGCUUAUUGCCCACGGGCAGACGCCCACCUCCGCCCGCCGGGGUAUCUGGCGACCCGGCUGCAGAACGCGGCCCCACCGCGCCUCUCGGGUCCAGACAAGGCCUCGCUCCCCCGUAAUCAGCCCCUGACUCGGGGAGGCAUCAAGGCCGGGCGCUCCUGGCGCCGCGGCCCCGCGGCCCCGCGGCAGCUGCCGCCGGAAAGGCGUGUAUCCGCACUUCCCUCAUCAUCUGGUAAUUCCAACAUCCCUGCCGUGUCUGAACCUGGUUCUGAUGGACCUCAAGCCAAGGAAUGCCAGCAGUCUCUAAAAGCUGGAAAAGACAAGAGAAUGGACUCCCCUCCGGAGUCUCCAGGCUACUCAGCCCCACCAACUGCUUGAUUUCAUCUCCGUUAAGACCUCAUCUCGGGAUCUGACCUCCAGAGUUGUUAGAUAAUCAAUUUAUGUUGCUUCAAGUCACUAAGUUUGCAGUAAUUUGUUACAACAGCAGUAGGGAACAUAUAAUCACCAAAUGGGAACAGGAAAUGUGAGAAAUAUGAGUUUGGUACGACACGAUAGUGAAAUAUUGGAUCUGAGAAAAAAAAAGUAGGACCUCUGCUACCUUGACAUUCUUAUUAAUGAUGUGCAAGUAUGGCUACAGUAAACCCAGAUACAAGAUACCAGCACCCCCCCCAAAAAAACCCAAAAAUGUUUAAAAGAAAAAAAAUGCAUCAGUACCUAGAAACUACGUAUUAACAUUUACAAAGGUGUACAUACUCCCUGUCUUGAACUAAUGUAAAGUGUACUUCCAGACAAUUUUAUAAACAGGAUAUUCUUACUCCACAAGGAGAUUAAGACAACAAAUCCAUUCCAGAAUCAAUGAAGACAUUUCUGGAAGGUGACUCUCUGCAAGACUGACACAUGAGAAACUUGUUCAGCUUCACUUAGGCAGUUGAAAUGAGAAAUGAAAACAGGAGAUUCUGAAAUACUGUAAGUUGCUGCUAUAUGAGUGGAGAAGCACAUGAUCCUGAGUUUCACUAAGCUGGCCGCAUCUGUCAAUAAAUUUAUGAUCACGAUGAACAAAUGGGUGGAUAUUCCAACAUUGCUAUGAUGAGCUUAAAGAGUAAUUCUCCAUGAUGCAUCUCAGCGAUAUGACCCUUUUGGGUGGAAUAUAUUUGUAAGCAAAAGCCACCCACUGCCUUCAGCGUCAGUUGGUGUGACAGCGACAGACACAGUGGCUCCGAGAUCAGUAUAAGUGAUUCUAGCAAGCUAGUCAGGCAGAUCGUGGUAACGGUAUUCUUAUGUGAAGUUCUAGUCUUAGAAAAAAUUUUAUAGUUGAAAAUAAGAUUUUACUAAAUUCGAAACAUGUAUUAACAAGGAACUAAAUAUAUAUAUUCUCUUCAGAAUGUGACUUCAUUGUCCUCUACAAUUUAAGGCGGAAGUACAUCACAGUCCAGAUCACUUACUUUUGCAAGAUUACAAAUCUCAAGAAUCUUCUACUCCUUUAUACUUUUCUGUAUUUUUAUAAAUGCAUAAUAUGUCAAUUUUGAUUACAGUGACUUAAACAAGGGACAAGUUAUUUCUCUUUCACAUUAAAGGUCAGAGAUAGGUAGUUACACUGCCUUCUCUGCCUCAACAGCAGCAGUAGUCAUGGGUUUGGAAUGACAGCCGCACUCACAGGAUCCAAUAAGCCUUGUAGGACACAACCCAGGCUCACCUGACUUU